GCCAGCAGCCAUGUCACUCUGCAACUCACAACUGGCAACCCCCUGAAGCUAAGCAGGUGUGAGCCUGGUUGGUACCUGGAUGGAGACCUCCUGGGAAAAUCUAAGGUUGUUGCUGGAA
rnacentral:rRNA from 1 species